GGAAACAAGAUGCUAAUACCGGAUAAAGCUACUUUCGCAUGAAAGAAAGUUUAAAAGGCGGCGUAAGCUGUCGCUAAAGGAUGGACCCUGCGAUGCAUUAGCUAGUUGGUAAGGUAACGGCUUACCAAGGCGAUGAUGCAUAGCCGAGUUGAGAGACUGAUCGGCCACAUUGGGACUGAGACACGGCCCAAACUCCUACGGGAGGCAGCAGCU
rnacentral:rRNA from 1 species